GGCUGGGUAGCUCAGUUGGUUAGAGCAUUGUCCUGAUAUGCCAAGGUUGCAGGUCCAUUCCCCAGUCA
rnacentral:tRNA from 1 species